AUUGAACGCUGGCGGCAUGCUUUACACAUGCAAGUCGAACGGUAACAGGCCUUCGGGCGCUGACGAGUGGCGAACGGGUGAGUAAUGCAUCGGAACGAGCCCAGUCGUGGGGGAUAACGCAGCGAAAGCUGUGCUAAUAACGCAUACGAUCUGCGGAUGAAAGCGGGGGACCUUCGGGCCUCGCGCGAUUGGAGCGGCCGAUGUCAGAUUAGGUAGUUGGUGGGGUAAAGGCUCACCAAGCCAACGAUCUGUAGCUGGUCUGAGAGGACGACCAGCCACACUGGGACUGAGACACGGCCCAGACUCCUACGGGAGGCAGCAGUGGGGAAUUUUGGACAAUGGGCGCAAGCCUGAUCCAGCAAUGCCGCGUGCAGGAAGAAGGCCUUCGGGUUGUAAACUGCUUUUGUACGGAGCGAAAAGGCUCCCUCUAAUACAGGGGGCUCAUGACGGUACCGUAAGAAUAAGCACCGGCUAACUACGUGCCAGCAGCCGCAGUAAAAC
rnacentral:rRNA from 1 species